rnacentral:tRNA from 1 species
GAGGGUACAGCUCAAGUGGUAUAGCACAUGCUAGCAUGCAUGAGGUCCUGGGUUCAAUCCCCAGUAUCUCCU